rnacentral:lncRNA from 1 species
GGGGGGAAAACGUGUGUCGUACGUUUUGUGUGUCAUACGUUUACUUGGACUGGUACCCGGUCGAUUUUUGACAAGUUUGUAUAUUCCAAAGGCAUACAGAAUAUUUUACGCGGAGAACCAUUCUUAAGUUUACUAAGACUUGGUCGUUAUCAUAGCUGAUUGAUUGUAAGUCCAUCCACGUCACUCCCCCUUUGAAACCAUUUUUCAAGACGCUAUUACUUCGAUACUGGCAUUACAUAAAUGGUCUAUCUAAAUCAUAAAAUUGUCUGUUUGCAAAUUAAAUACAUGCAUUGAACAUUAGUUAGUCACUCUUGGAUUCAAUUUAAUGCGUUAUCACUCAAAGGUUUUUUUGUUAGGCUUCCAAAGCAACCCUGUAGUCUCGAGAUAAGCUGACGAAAAUUAUUCCAUAAACACACGUUGUGUGUACUAAAACCUUGGUGUUAUACUAAAUUAUUUAUAUCUUUUCGUUGCCUGGGAUACUGUUUAAACAUUCUGCCUUUGUUUCUUUGGCAAUGGAAAGAACUUUUAUUUUCUUAUUUGAUGUUUGCUGGUAAAAGUAAGAUUUGUAUGUGUGGCUCAAAAUAAAUUUUUGCGGUUGUCGAUUCUAUAUCAUUUUUGGUUUUACCCAUUUCCAAUAAGACGGAGACUUGUCGAACUUAAUAUAUUACUUGAACAUUCUGCACGUUUUAUAUGUGGAUGUAAUUACAGUGACGGGGAGCACGGAAUGACGUCUUCAUAUCUCAGCUUGAUCAGUCAUAAGACGUAUUGAGAUGAGGUAUGGAUACCAUUGACACAACUCACUUUGAUACGAACAUAUAUUCUAAAUUCAUAAACAGUGAUAAUUUAUGAUAUACUUGCAUGUGAAGAACACGGGACAUACUUCAAAUACGCUUUAUCUGCAUGUUUUCAUCCCUACAUAACAACAUGAUUAAACGGGUCAAUUAAACAUGCAUAUAUUCUGUGUCUGAUCAGAUUAAACUAGUAACCCUCGCCGUUCAGUGAGAAAAUAAAUCUAAUAAUAAAUUCAUACAUAUUAAUGAUCGGUUGAAAGUUUACCUACAGUAGGAACUUGAGUAUUUUUCCAUACAUGAUGUGGGAUUUUCCAUAAUAACUGUAAAAUAUUUUCUAUGAAUGACGUCUAUUGGGUAUGUUAUACGUUAGUUUGUGUGCAUUGUACCGACCAUGCGAGACUCUCGUGGAUAGCCAAUGUCGUUCUAGUCAACACCUCUAGUAUAGUGUACUCUGCAUAACUUUUAACGGUUAUAUAGUGCAGUUAAAUAAAGUAAUAGACUGGGAAAGAAAUAUCUAUUAUCCUUAAUAUACCUGAAUAAAUUAAAAUAGUAUUACGUAACCUAAAAUAAAUAUUACGAAGAACAAAAGAUUAUUUGCUAUGACUACAAAUCAGACAUAGACAGCGAUAAUCCUAACAAUGUGCUAUAGUGAUGCAAUCUCUCAUGCGGAGAGAGCAAAGACCGAUAACUCUGCAUGGGAAAUUGAUAUUGUCCUUGAGAAUUUCAUUAGAUAUCUAUCGAUUUUUUUGUUUUUGCUGCUUAGCUUUUCAUAUUCUGUCGGUUAAACCUAGAUAGAAAGAGAGGCAUGAAAUCCAUGUCAUUUGACACUCGAACUUUGUUGAAGGCUGCAAGAUGAUCUCUCUAGAUUUCAGGUGAUAACAUGGUAUUAACAUGAUAUUUUAUACGUUUUACGGUUUACUUCAUAUUUCAGAGGUCGUAAGAUUUUUAAUUAACAUAUCACAAAGUCAUUUCGAGCUUCCAUUGGUAACUAGGAAAGUAGAAAUCCAUUUGAAAUCUUUAAUACAGCUCAUACAAAUGACGUGGUUUGAUUGUUGAUUUUUUUUUAUAUAUCUUUUAUAAAUUGAUGUGGGCUAAUUUCAGUUACUGCGUGAACUUUCAAAUGUUUACCUUGUUGUAGUUAUAUUUUUUGUACAAUUAGGGUCAAGUAUGUUUUUUUUUCUGCCUGCUUUGUGGCGAUCUGAUUGGUCGAGCCAUUUUCAACUUAUUUCUAUAGUUUUUCUCAUGUGAUGUGAAAGCCAAAUAGUGACCCCAUUAUGCCACAGUUGCUAUUUUUACAUCAUUUGGUAUCUGAUGAAAACUUGUCAUAUUGGCAAUCAUUUCACAUCUUUUUAUAAACACUGUGGAAAUUUACCUUUAGAUUUAGUAUACCGAUUUUACCGGUUUAUGUUUUCAGUGAUUUCUCUCACUUGAUUGUAUUGCUUCUAUAAACAUGUAACUUAACUAAAAUAACGAUUCAAAUUCCUCGUUGCAGACCUUCAAUCUGUAAAUAACUAAUGAGUUGUGGUAAAAAGACCUAUGAUUGCCAAUGAGGAAACACGCAAAGGGAACUAUAUGGCCUUCGACAAUAUGUUUAACUCAUACCCCAGAGCAAGCUAUAAAGGGUUCGCGAUAGGAAAGUGCGAAACUUAUCAAAAGAGAAGUACCAAUAACCUAAUUUAUGUACAACAAUAAACGAAAAACAAUUGUGACAGAAAGCGACCAACGACAACCGCUGUAUUAUAAGCUCCUGGCUCCGGGCAGACACAUAACAAAGUGGUGGGGUACUGUUACACAUGGUUGUUAUAACCACCAGCGUUUUCUACAUUGUAUGGUAUAUACUUUAAAGGUAAACAUGGACAAUCCUCUGUGGCUGUGGAUCAUGUACAAUACUAUUGAUUUGUUCAACACAUUCUACUUUCAUUUGUCGUCAUUGUUGAAUGAACAAUGGUACGCAAACACUGUU